rnacentral:rRNA from 1 species
CCUACGGGUGGCAGCAGUGAGGAAUAUUGGUCAAUGGCCGGAAGGCUGAACCAGCCAAGCCGCGUGAGGGAGGAAGGCGCAGAGCGUCGCCGCCCUCUUUUGCCGGGGGUCAAAAGGCCGGCCUCGUCCGGUCCUGAGGGUACCCGGAGAAAAAGCAUCGGCUAACUCCGUGCAAGCGGCCGCGGUAAUACGGGGGCGGCGAGCGUUAUCCGGAUUCAUGGGGUUUAAAGGGUGCGCAGGCGGGCCUUUAAGCCGGCGGUGAAAUCGCGGGGCUCAACCCCGCCGAGCCGUCGGAACUGGGGGCUUUGAGUGCGGCGGAGGCAUGCGGAAUGCGCGGUGUAGCGGUGAAAUGCAUAGAUAUCGAGCAGAACCCCGAUUGCGAAGGCAGCGUGCCGUGCCGCCACUGACGCUGAGGCACGAAAGCGCGGGGAGCGAACAGGAUUAGAUACCCUGGUAGUC